rnacentral:rRNA from 1 species
CAGUCGAGCGAUGAUCCAACGAUAGCAAUAUUGGAGGGGAUUAGCGGCGAACGGGUGAGUAACACGUAGGAAUCUGCCCUGAAGUUCGGAAUAGCCCGUCGAGAGUCGGGAUAAUACCGGAUGUGAUCUUCGGAUCAAAGGCCUUCGGGUCGCUUCAGGAUGAGCCUGCGCUCCAUCAGCUUGUUGGUAGGGUAAAAGCCUACCAAGGCGAGGACGGAUAGCUGGUCUGAGAGGACGGCCAGCCACAAUGGAACUGAGACACGGUCCAUACACCUACGGGUGGCAGCAGUCGAGAAUCAUUCACAAUGGGCGAAAGCCUGAUGGUGCGACGCCGCGUGGGGGAUGAAGGCCUUCGGGUCGUAAACCCCUGUCGGUUGCGAGUAAGGCCCGGCUUACGUCGGGAUUGAUAUUAGCAACAAAGGAAGGGGCGGCUAACUCCGUGCCAGCAGCCGCGGUAAUACGGAGGCCCCAAGCGUUGUUCGGAUUUACUGGGCGUAAAGCGUGCGUAGGCGGCGAGGUAAGUUUGGCGUGAAAGCCCCGGGCCCAACCCGGGAAAUGCGCUGAAAACUACUUCACUAGAGGUGUGGAGGGGAGUCUGGAAUUCCUGGUGUAGCAGUGAAAUGCGUAGAUAUCAGGAGGAACAUCAGUGGCGAAGGCGAGACUCUGGAAACAUUCUGACGCUGAGGUAC